rnacentral:sRNA from 1 species
AUUUUACAGUCCCGCACAAAGAAAAUGUUUACACAAUAAUUCAAAAUCUUUGAUGCGUUGUUUACACUGCUAGCAGGUGAGCAUUUUCUCGAGAAGAAGUGUAAUGGCGCUUGUUGCUCAACAUUGACAAUAACGAGGCAGUGUUCACUUCCUGGGUGUUCCAAACAGAAUCAGUUUCUGUUUAAAAAACUACUUUCAAAGAGAGAUAAAAUAUUUGGAUACUGUGAAAGUAAAGUGCAUCAAUGAAAAACACUUCAAGAAGCACAAAAAACAUAAUUUAAUGUUAUAGUGUCAAUUAUCAGCCCGAGAAUGCCAAAAUAUCUUGAAUCUAAGGAAGAAAGUAUAACCAAACAUGAUUCUCUCUCGUUUCUUUGGUUGAAUUUAUUUUCUGUUUGUCUGAAUCUUGGUGAUGGAUACAUUUCCACUGUCAUCGCGAACGCGUGUCAUUUCCAGCACUAUCAGUGAUAUUUAUCAUCUUACUAUUACUUCAUUACAACUAAGCUGUAUAUCCCGUAGAUAGACGCUGCUAAUCUGGACCAAAUCUCUGAUAAUGUGUAUUUAUGGAGGACCCGAGGAUUAGCGCCCCUAAGACAAUAUGUUUGACUUUUGAUACGGUCGUUUUCUGAUUACUUGUUUUGCAAACAAACCUGCACAAGUUCCACAAAGACCUGGACAAGGGGAUUAGUAUCUCAACAUCGUCAGUCCAAAUUAGUUUAACGCGAUAAUUUUGAAACUUACACCACCCUCUCCCCCGACCCAGGAGAGAGUGCUAUGGUGGCGAGUUUACUCUGACUUCAUCAAUUAAUAAUUAGACCGUCGGCGGGGGCCUCCUAUCACCCUCAUCAGACGGACUGACGGCCAAACCGAGUUUAUGUAAGGGAAUCAAAAUAUUGGUAUAUCAUAUCAUUGUGGUACGGCACCCAAGAUAAGGGACGUUCAUGGACAAAAACACACUGUCACUUUUAAUUCUCUUAAUUGCACAAUCACCUUCAUCCAGGUUUUGAACAGCGAGGAAAUUCGAUCCAGCUUGGAGAGUUGGGGUUUCCUAUCCGUCCAUAUUGGGGAGAUGAAAUUUCUAAUUAUCGCGAAAAUGUGAGACGAAGACUUGUCGAGCGAGCACUUAAAUAUAUUUGUUGACUGUUACAUCAUACGACAGAGAGCUGUCAGAGGAAGCUUAUAACAAUGCACGGCCCCUCUCCUACACAGAAAAUAUACACUCAAAACAAUUAUAACACAUCGCACAUCUCGGGCCUAGAAGCAGUCACUAUUGUUUAAAAGCAAAACCUUAUUUGAUCGAUGCAUCAGAUAAGCAUUGAACUUUUUUUUCAUAAUCAUGAUCAGUGUGGAAAAAAUUCCCCUCUUUUAUCGGUGGGUAGUGAAGCCCAUUUUUCUGCUCUGUGAAGGUAAAGAGGGAUGGGGCGUGUUGCACGACCAUCCACCCGUGGUCUGAUGUUAACGAUUACCUAAGCAUGUGUUGCUGUUUGCUACAACGAACACAGGUUCCCGACUACCUCCAAUAAAAAUAUAUUUAUUUUUAACAGAACGUAUCAAAAUGUGCGUACAACCAGUAACCAUUGUGGCCAAAGAAUCUUACAGCUUGAACAUACCGUUUAUUUUAUUUUUUUACCUCUAAAUAGAAGCAAUUAAGCAACUAUUUUGUGUUCAAUCUACGCACGACGUAAUAAUCUGCAUUGUGCAAUCCGCCAUGUUUGUUUGUUUUCUUUUCUUUUUUUCAUGGAAUGUUUGAUUUCUCGGGUACAUUAUUUACUGGAAUUGUGCUUAUUAAAUUGACACAGGUUAGUAAAAUUUUAUUUUGUUUUUUAUAUAUUUUUGUUUACGUAGGUUUAUUUUACUAAUUAUAUCUUUCCGAUUUUGACUUUUGUUGAAAGAGAUGCAAUUACAGAUAACAGACCAAAAUAGUCAACACAUGGUUAUUUUCCAUUAAUUUGUAGACCCGAUUAAUUUCAUGAAAUAAACAUCCUGUAAGAC